rnacentral:rRNA from 1 species
UGGGGAAUAUUGGACAAUGGGGGCAACCCUGAUCCAGCCAUGCCGCGUGAGUGAUGAAGGCCUUCGGGUUGUAAAGCUCUUUUGGCGGGGACGAUGAUGACGGUACCCGCAGAAUAAGCCCCGGCUAACUUCGUGCCAGCAGCCGCGGUAAGACGAAGGGGGCUAGCGUUGUUCGGAAUUACUGGGCGUAAAGCGAGUGUAGGCGGUUGCCGUAGUCAGGUGUGAAAGCCUUGAGCUCAACUCAAGAAAUGCACUUGAUACUGGGUGACUAGAGGACCGGAGAGGAUAGUGGAAUUCCCAGUGUAGUGGUGAAAUACGUAGAGAUUGGGAAGAACACCAGUGGCGAAGGCGGCUAUCUGGACGGUUACUGACGCUAAGACUCGAAAGCGUGGGGAGCAAAACAGGAUUAGAUACCCUGGUAGUCCACGCCGUAAACGAUGGGUGCUAGACGUUGGCGAGCUUGCUCGUCAGUGUCGCAGCUAACGCGUUAAGCACCCCGCCUGGGGAGUACGGCCGCAAGGGUUGAAANUCAAAUGAAUUGCGGGGUCAUAGCUG